rnacentral:rRNA from 1 species
AACGUAGGACACGAGCGUUAUCCGGAGUUACUGGGCGUAAAGGGCGAGUAGGUGGUGCGAUAAGACUGGUGUGAAAGCCUUCGGCUUAACCGAGGGAGGACACUGGUGACUGUCGGACUUGAGGCAGAUAGAGGGGUGUAGAAUUCCGGGUGUAGUGGUGAAAUGCGUAGAGAUCCGGAGGAAUACCAGUGGCGAACGCGACUACCUGGCCCAUUCUUGACGCUGAGGCGCGAAAGCUAGGGGAGCGAACGGG